rnacentral:rRNA from 1 species
ACUAACGCUGGCGGCGUGCCUAACACAUGCAAGUCGAACGAUUCUUUGAUUAUAGCAAUAUUAUUAAAGAGGAGUGGCGAACGGGUGAGUAACACGUAGAUAAUCUGCCUUCAGACGGGGACAACUCAGGGAAACUUGUGCUAAUACCCGAUGAGACCACAAGAAGGGAUUUUUGUGGCCAAAGGCGGGCAGCAAUGCUCGUGCUGAAAGAUGAGUCUGCGUCCUAUCAGCUAGUUGGUGGGGUAAAUGCCUACCAAGGCUAAGACGGGUAGCCGGCCUGAGAGGGUGAACGGCCACACUGGGACUGAGACACGGCCCAGACUCCUACGGGAGGCAGCAGUGAGGAAUUUUCCGCAAUGGGCGCAAGCCUGACGGAGCGACGCCGCGUGAGGGAUGAACAGCUUUCGGGUUGUAAACCUCUUUUAUUAAGGAAAAAGAUCUAUAUGCUAAUAUCAUGUAGAUUUGAUGGUACUUAUUGAAUAAGCCCCGGCUAACUACGUGCCAGCAGCGGC